CCGCCCGGGCCGACUCUUUUCAUUUCGUUUUCUCUAUUUCGAUAAGGCUGAGGGGGAGCUCGAGCGGGGAGCAGAGGAUGCGAUUCUCCCCGUCCAUGGCGAUUUCGAGAUCUCCCACCGCCUGAGCUUGAUCUCUCUUCCCUUUCUCUUCGACACCUGUGUCAUGGUUAGUUGUUCCUCUCUCUCUCUCUCUCUCUCUCUCUCUCUCUCUCUCGCGUGUUUGUUGUUCUGCUUGUGUUGUUCCAGAUCUAGGUCAGUUCAUGUCGCCCUCUCGCCAUCUGAUGCAGCCGCUGGUAUGUGUGAUUUGCUGGGCCUUGUGAUACACGCGUGCGUGCUCCUGUUGUAGUUUGUAGAUGUAACGGUUGUUUUCCUUUUCUACGUAGAUAUAACAUGCGGGAUUCUGUAGGUGUAGAUGUAGCAUGCGGGAUUCCAUGGCAGAUUUCUGUAGAUGUAGCUACACGUGCUGGAUUUUCUGUAGAUGUAGUGUGCGGGAUUUCUAUAGAUGUUCUGCUCAUGUUCCUGUAGGUGAGGUUUGUAUAGAUGCCUAGCUCUUUCCUGCUCAUGUUCUGAUGCUCCUGUGUGUAUUCCUGUUCAUGUACUAAGUACAUUUCGCCUCCUGAUUUGUUCUUGCGGGAUGUAGGUGUUUAGUUCCCCUUGUACCAUGUUUGUUUACUUCUUGCAGGGAUGGUUUGAGUUUAAUUUCAGUGUAAUUUUAUCUCAGCCUUUGAUGGUCAUUUACUCAGUUGUUGUGAUUGGAUUUGCAGUGUUAUUUUACACUGUAAUUCAUCUCAGACUUACAAUGUAAUUUUGUCCCAGACUUGCAGUGUAAUCUCAGUACUGUAUCAGUGUAAUUUCUUUCAGAUUUUGCAGCGUAAUUAACCUGAUUUUUGAAUUGUAAUUUAUGCCAGUCUUUCAGUGUAAUUUGUCCCAGAUUUACAUUGUAAUUUGUCCCGGAUUUACAGUGUAUAUUGAGUGGAUAUUACAGUGUUAUUUGGUUGUAAUUCCAGUGUAGACUUACAGUGUAAUUUUAUCUCAGUAUUGCAGUAUAAUUUGUCCCAAAUUUAUGGUGUAAUUUCUACCAGAUUUAUAAUUUAAUUAACCUUUUUCAGUGUGGUAUUGAGUGAAUUUUCUAUGUUAUUUGAUUGUGAUUGCAGUGUAGUUCAUCCCAGCAUUACAGACUUCUAAUUGUAAUUCACCCAUUAAUUCCAGUGGAUUUAUAGUGUAAUUCGAAUGUAGUUUCAGUGUAAUUUACCCCAACAUUAGAGUGUAGUUUACCCAAUAAUUCCAGUGUGGGUUGUUAUUGGAUUUUGAGUGGUUUUGUCAGUGUAUUUUAGCCCGUCUUGCACACUGUUUGCACAUUAAUUUUGUCUAUUUUCCAAUGUAAUUAAGUCCAGUUUGCUCAGUAAUACCAUUGGUUCCUAUAUAUUAUUUAGCUAGUAUUCAAUGUUCCUUGCUUGGUUCAGUACUGUAGGGCGGUUUUCAUUUAGCUCACUUUAAUGCCUUCUUCAUUGAGGAAUUCAUCGUCUCCUUGUUCAAGUGAGUCUUCUGGUUCUUUUUUUUCUCCUUCUCCAUUCCUUUGACCCGUGCUUGAGUUCGUGUUAGCUGCUGCUCUACUGCAAUCAACAUCUUCAGGCACCUGCAACUUUUAGGGAUUUCUUUUAGUUAUUUUCUUCUGAAAUGUUAUGAGUUUCUCUUAGGUUCAUCAUUGUAUUUCUGAAUUUUGUGGUGUGUACAUGUUGCAGAUUCAUGUUAUAGAACAGGUUUGUGUCCCAGGGAUUACAUCCUCCUCCUCCAUCUUCGCUUGCUGCCACUUAAUUAUGCAAGUUUGCCUCCAAUGUCUGCAAAUGUAAGUUUCAAUGAUUGUUAGUGUGUUUUUCUUUGGCAUUUUCUUGUAAUAGUUAUUCAGCUCUUGUUUUGCUUACAUUGUCAUCUUGUUGUGAUGAAACUGUCAUCUGGUUUGCUCACUUGAAUGUUCGUAGAUCCAUCUCCUGAAUGUACCUGCAAGAUUCAUCACAAGUUUAAUUUUAGACAUCUCAUGAAUGUCCGUGGUAUUUUUUGUUUUUGUCACUUUACCUUGUAUAUAUUGUCGGAAUGAAGGAGCGCAGUGAAAUAAAACGUUUCUUGCAUCAUAAUUUUGUUAGCCUUUUACCCUUUUUAUGUAUUUUUAAACAUCUUCCCAAUGUUUUAGCAACUAUAUCUCACAUUUAGUAUGAGUUAUUCCUGUGAUAACUCAGUAGAUCCUCUUCAGUCACUACCCUCAUCAUGCUCCUGUCCUGUCACAAUUGGAAAGUAGAAUGUUAGUGUUAACAUAAUCAUGAGUAACAAAGCAUUUUAGUAAUAGAUGCUUGAAUGCAUUCUGUAUGCUUGAAUGUUAAUGCUAGUAUUUUGUAAUGUCUGCAUGCUUGAAUGUAUUCUGUAGAUUGUGUUUGUGCUUAUGCUCUCUGCUUUCUAUGUUCUUUCUAUGCCUGAAUGUUUUCUAAGGCUUUUACACUGCAAAUUACUAGGUAAAAGUGUAAUUACCUGAGUUUUCUUCUAGUUUAUUUUCACUGUGGAUUUUACUGGUUUCUUAGUGUAAAACCCCUAGAUUUUUGCACUAGAAUUUCUAGAGAUUUAUAGUGGAAAUUUCUAGGUAGCUACAGUGUAAUUUUUCCCUGGCAUUUACACUGUAAUUUAAUUUGUAGAUACCUACAAUUUAAUUUACAUUGUAAGUAGUACCUACAGUGUAAAUUACACUGGAAUUUUUACAAGGUACUUACAGUGUAACCUACAUCAUUCUGGUGUAACUUACACUGGAAUUUAAUUUGUAGAUUCUAGGUAUGUACAGUGUAAUUAAACUGGAAUUUACCAUGUACUUACAAUGUAAAGCUAGGAAAUUGUGUGUAAAGUUUGGCUGCUGCCCAGUGGCAAGUAACCAUGGAUAGAUAGUUCAUUUUGUAUUACAAACCAGGUUACUAGGUAAUUGCAUCAUUUGUCUCAGGUUUACACUGGAAUUUAUAUCAGAUUUAUCCCACACUGAAAUUCCAGAUUUUACAAUUUUUUGUAUGUAAAUUACUAGGUAUGUACAGUGUAGUUAAACUGGAAUUUACUGUGUACUUACAAUGUAAUUGCACAAUUUGUCUCAUGUUUACACUGGAAUUUACACCAGAUUUCACAAGUUAUUGGGAUUUACACUGUAUUUUUUUAUGAUUUACAGUGUAAAUUACUAGGUAUGUACAGUGUAAUUACAUCAUUUGUCUCAUGUUUACACUGGUAUUUAUGGGGGAUUUACAUGGGAAAUUAUGGAGAAUUUACACUACAAUUUAAUUACAUGGGGAUUUGCACUGUAACUUUCUGGGAAUUACACUGGAAUUUUAUAGGAUUUACACUGGAAAAUGACUACCACUUGCACUAUAAGCUUCUGAAUGUUUUCUGAAUUUUUCCUGUAUUUUUUAUGUUAAUCCCCAUGUAUCUUUCCUAGAAUUAUAGGUGAUCUUGAUCUCUCUAUUUUGAAGAUGAAGAAAAUUCCUUCAGAUUUUGUUAAUGAAAGAGGUGAAGAGAGAUGAUGGUGAGGAGUUUGUGUACGAUUGUUGCUGACCUGUUGAUUCCCCGAUCUCCCAUGGCAGCCUCUCCCUUCCCCAUGGGCGCCUUCCAGAUUUGUUCUAGGCUGUUAGGUGAGAUCUUUGUAGUGGUUGAUGGCAAUUGGCGUGUUUUGUUGUGCCUGGGAUCGGACAAAUCGGGUCAGAUGUUUACCCGACCCGUUUAGACGAUCAGAAGGUUUUUUUUAGCUAUCUGCUGAUUUUCCUGCUCGCUCACGUGUAAUGUGUUGAUUGGUCAGGAAAUUUGACUGUUUUCGAAUUGAAAAACAGUCAAAUGUCAAAUAGACAGUCCCUUACUUUAUAUAUAGCUCACAUCUACAUCGUUGGAUGAAUCCCUCCAAACGAACGACAAGGGGCUGGUCUGACGAAACACAUGGAUUCAGACGUCUGAACUAAAGUGUUUCCCAUUGUUGAUUGUUGCCUUGUCUAUCAUUGUCUACCCCAAG
rnacentral:lncRNA from 1 species